ensembl:lncRNA
GAGAGAGAGAGAGAGAGAGAGGGAGAGAGAGAGAGCGCCCGCGCGCGAGCGAGAGAGCGAGGGGGAGGCUGCUGCUGCUGCUACUGAGCGAGAGGAAGACAAACACCGCGGAACACACGGCAGGCUGCUAGCUGAGAGGGCAGCAUGGCGGGGCUUCAGGACUUCCAACAAGGCAGCCACUGUCACAGGAAAACGUGGAUCAAUAUACUACUCGGAAUACUACAGUUACUUUUGCCCUGCGUGCAGCACGGAGGGGCGCAGCUGCAAGCUCUGAGUCAGAUGUCCACCAGCGUGGUCGAAGUCUGGCAAGCGGAGGACGCAGACCCCUUAGCCCAACUUCAGGUGGAGAAGGAACGAAGAAAAGAUGUUCUGCCACUAGAAGACGGCUCUUCUCUAUAUGCUCGGGAGAACGGGGGUCCGUUGCAUUUUCAGCCCCCAGCGUUGCAGUUUGGGACGCAGUAAGUUCUGUUCUCUCUUCCUGGUUUAAUAUGAUGGGUUGUUCAUUUAAUUUUGAAAAUAAAGAAUCCCACCGCGUUGAA